rnacentral:rRNA from 1 species
GAUGAACGCUGGCGGCGUGCCUAAUACAUGCAAGUCGAGCGAACAGACGAGGAGCUUGCUUCUCUGACGUUAGCGGCUGACGGGUGAGUAACACGUGGAUAACCUACCUAUAAGACUUGGAUAACUUCGGGAAACCGGAGCUAAUACCGGAUAAUAUAUUGAACCGCAUGGUUCAAUAGUUCAAGACGGUUUUGCUGUCACUUAUAGAUGGUUCCGCGCCGCAUUAGCUAGUUGGUAAGGUAACGGCUUACCAAGGCAACGAUGCGUAGCCGACCUGAGAGGGUGAUCGGCCACACUGGAACUGAGACACGGUCCAGACUCCUACGGGAGGCAGCAGUAGGGAAUCUUCCGCAAUGGGCGAAAGCCUGACGGAGCAACGCCGCGUGAGUGAUGAAGGUCUUCGGAUCGUAAAACUCUGUUAUUAGGGAAGAACAAAUGUGUAAGUAACUAUGCACGCCUUGACGGUACCUAAUCAGAAAGCAACGGCUAACUACGUG